GACGAACGCUGGCGGUGUGCUUAACACAUGCAAGUCGAACGGUAAGGCCCUUUCGGGGGUACACGAGUGGCGAACGGGUGCGUAACACGUGAGUAACCUUCCCUCAUCUCUGGGAUAACAGUCGGAAACGGUUGCUAAUACUGGAUAUGAGCUUGCAAGGCAUCUUGUGGGUUGGAAAGAUUUUUUUUGGUUGGGGAUGGACUCGCGGCCUAUCAGCUUGUUGGUGAGGUAGUGGCUCACCAAGGCUUCGACGGGUAGCCGGCCUGUGAGGGCGACCGGCCACAUUGGGACUGAGAUACGGGCCAAAGUCGUACGGGAGGCAGCAGUGGGGAAUAUUGCACGAUGGACGGAAGUCUGAUGCAGCAACGCCGCGGGCGGGAUGACGGCCUUCGGGUGGUAAACCGCUUUCAAUUGUGAAGAAGCUUUUUUGUGACGGUAGCAGUAGAAGAAGCACCGGCUAACUACGUG
rnacentral:rRNA from 1 species